UCCGGUAUGGUGUAACGGCUAACAUUGCCGCCUUUCAUAGUACCUAACUUGAAUGAUGCGCGGCAGCUCGGGGUUCGAUUCCCCGUACCGGAA